AUUGAACGCUGGCGGCAGGCUUAACACAUGCAAGUCGAGCGGGGUGAUGGUGCUUGCACUAUCACUUAGCGGCGGACGGGUGAGUAAUGCUUAGGAAUCUGCCUAUUAGUGGGGGACAACAUCUCGAAAGGGAUGCUAAUACCGCAUACGUCCUACGGGAGAAAGCAGGGGAUCACUUGUGACCUUGCGCUAAUAGAUGGGCCUAAGUCGGAUUAGCUAGUUGGUGGGGUAAAGGCCUACCAAGGCGACGAUCUGUAGCGGGUCUGAGAGGAUGAUCCGCCACACUGGGAUUGAGACACGGCCCAGACUCCUACGGGAGGCAGCAGUGGGGAAUAUUGGACAAUGGGGGGAACCCUGAUCCAGCCAUGCCGCGUGUGUGAAGAAGGCCUUAUGGUUGUAAAGCACUUUAAGCGAGGAGGAGGCUCUUUUGGUUAAUACCCAGAAUGAGUGGACGUUACUCGCAGAAUAAGCACCGGCUAGCUCUGUGCCAGCAGCCGUCGUAA
rnacentral:rRNA from 1 species